UGGUUCCCACCUCUCAAAAACAAACAAAUUAGAAAGAAAGAAAUUUUUGGGCCUUUUAUGAGUUGAGUACUUUAUAUAAAAAGGAAAAAAAAAAUAGGAUUAGAAGAACAUCUGCCAGUAUUUUUUCUUCAUUAUAUUUUUCUGAAUUUUCUAUUUUGUGAGACAGAAUUUGCUGAGGACUUUGAGGUAUGAUUUACAGAGAAAUUUUUGAUGAUCCCUAACGUUACGUGUCAGACGUGUUUAAGGUACAUAGUCGAACAUUUAAACGUAAAUCUCACGAAUGAAGCUUUGUAGAGUUUAGAUGUUAUAACUAUUUUUGCUUAUUACACUGGACUUGUAUAGUUUUUGCCCGAGCCUUAUUUUUUGCAAAGCAGCUAUUGGCUACGAUAUUGAACAAUGGGUCGAGUUUAAGCUCUCCUCAACUUUGUAAUUUUAUUCAUUAAUAUGGUGAUAAUUUAAUUAUUUUUAUUUUUUAAGAAAAAAUGGCA
rnacentral:lncRNA from 1 species